rnacentral:tRNA from 1 species
GUCCUAGUAGCUUAAAAACAAAGCACUG